GAUGAACGCUAGCGACAGGCCUAACACAUGCAAGUCGAGGGGCAGCACAUGAGUAGCAAUACGAUGGUGGCGACCGGCGCACGGGUGAGUAACACGUAUGCAACCUGCCUUCUACUAUGGGAUAACCCGUUGAAAGACGGCCUAAUACCGUAUAAUACAGGGGCUCCGCAUGGAGAUAUUUGUUAAAGACUUAUUGGUAGAAGAUGGGCAUGCGUAUGAUUAGAUAGUUGGUGAGGUAACGGCUCACCAAGUCAACGAUCAUUAGGGGUUCUGAGAGGAAGGUCCCCCACACUGGUACUGAGACACGGACCAGACUCCUACGGGAGGCAGCAGUGAGGAAUAUUGGUCAAUGGACGACAGUCUGAACCAGCCAAGUCGCGUGAAGGAAGACGGUUCUAUGAAUUGUAAACUUCUUUUGUGCAGGAAUAAAGUGGGUUACGUGUAACCUUUUGUAUGUACUGUACGAAUAAGGAUCGGCUAACUCCGUGCCAGCAGCCGCAGUAAAAC
rnacentral:rRNA from 1 species